GGGAGCCUUACCUUGGUGACCUUGAUUAGGAGGUUAAAGAAGGGAGCGGUGUGUGCUGAGCCGUCCGCUUUACGCUGUUGUGCUUUGGGGGUCUGGGGUGCAAACAGCCCCGGAUUCCCCUUCGUUCCAGACUCUUUCUUGCUCCGGAACAACCUGGACUUUGGCUGGCUCCUCCUUGUUCAACAUCAGAGUUGACAACUCUGCUCCAGGUGGAGCGGUCCCUGACGCGGGCGCACACAUCCCGGGGAUUCUGGUCACAGCUUUCCCAGGGCGGGGAGAAGGGGAUCACUGCACACCCUGGGAAUCCGGCAGUCGUCACAAAUUAUGCAGCCUGGCUCCUCAGCUCCUAUUCUGGGGACAUCAGGCUUCCCACUGCCGGAGACUUAGCUUAAGUCCCUGCUGCGGAGGUGACUCAAUUUGGGAGUUUGCAGCAAGGAGGACCUGGAGCCAUCAGGGGGUCCCAUCUCGGCUAGGUUCAAUGUCCGGUUGCACAAACCCCCAGAUUAUCUGGGUCUUAAGGGGCCCAGGUGCAGAAGGGUUUUCUCUUGCAAGUCUUUCCCAAGCUGCUCUCUCCAGAACAUCCUGCAUCAGCUUAGAUUGGUUUAUGCUCCUUCUUCAGUGCUCCUUCUGACCAGCCACCUGAAGCCGCCCUUGGGCAUGAGAAAUGACAGUGGCAAAGGCUUGAUUGCUCAUCCAAUAGCUGGAAGAAGUUACUUUAUUGUAAUUUUCUCAAGGCAGGAAGGGAUGCUGUGAGCUGUGAUUAGCGCCUGACUGUGUUUAUUUAUUCGUGACACACAUCACAGGGGCAUCACAGGACAGCCGUGUGCUCUUAGCAGUUUCCUGGGACUAGCCUGAAGUUGGAAGCUGCUCCAGGAAUGGGCCUCAGAUACUGAUCGUCACGGGAAGGGGCAUGCUAGAGAGGUUUAU
rnacentral:lncRNA from 1 species